AAGAAAAUGAAAAAGGAAAGAAAAACCGAGGGAGAGGAAGAGAAAAGGAACAAAAAAUUUUACUCUUUUCUUGGCAUGGUUUUGCUGCACUUUGAGGGAGAAAAAGAGAGCUUUUGCUGUAAUUUUUGGAGGAAGAAAAAGCUGAAAAUUUUGAGUUUGAGCUAUUUGCUGCCAAUUUUGUGCAAAAACAUUGGAGCCGUUUGCUGGUAGUUUAUGUAGGAAAACUGGACAGCUUUGUGCCGCCAAAAUUGAGAAGUUUUGUUAUUGGAAAUUGAGCUGGAAAUCUGCUGAUUUUAGAGCAGAAAAUUACAGCAAAAUGGUGAGAAAAGGAGGCUUUUGGUGACCGAUUUUGAGAGGAAAGGAAGAGAGGAAGUCACGGUGGUGAAGAGAGGAAGACAUGGUGGUGAAGGGAGUGACGGUGGAA